GUUGUUGCGGCUAUGAAAACAAACACGGCGCAGUCAAACGGAAAACAGAGCGCGUCAGGGACGUGUAGUAGGAAGGAAACGUGAUUCACGGUUGACAUUAGCCGAUCCGUCUAGAAAUAACAGUCAGCUUUGCCGAAAAAGACGUACCGUUUGACGAAACUUCAUCCAUCACAGCAUCUAGAACUGACACACUCCCACUCCGCGCUUCAGCCACUGAAUAUAGAGCGAGCAGAUUCGAAAUCCAUUCUUCACGUUACGGACAUUGCGCAGUAGCGCGAAAUUUAAAUAUCACGCAGGAAAAAUAUACAGCGGUUGGAAAGUAUUCGAACACUUGCGAUUGGGAAUAAAAAUAGAUGAAAAUAAAUAUCGAAUAAGUUUCAUCAAAUACAGCUUAUUUACACAAAAAUAUAAAUAUUAAUUUCAAUUAAUUACUAAAUAAUAAUCAAUGUAGUAUAAGGAUACUAUAGAUAUAAUAAGAAUGUCCACUUAUUGUUGUCCUCGACUGUAUCAUAGAAAACUUUCUAGUAUAUAAUGUAUAUGUUACAUAAAACAUUUUGAAAUUCCAUUAUCACUAGGAUGAGACAGUCAGGUUACUCUCUUCUUCAAUCAUUUUAUAUUAAAUUAAGAAGUCAACAUUUUCCAGAAUUAAUGUUUAUUUAAAGAUAAGAAAAUUAGUUGGUAAGGAGGUAGUCGUUUAUUUUUCACACUACUUUUGGUCUUUGAUUUAACUAAAAUCAAUACAGAUACAGUUCAUUAUAUCUCAGAUAUAUGUAUACCUUAAACUAGUCUUUGAUAACGUAUCAAGAUUUUUAACAUAUUUCAAAGAUAAAUGUAUGAAGAAUCGUGCAAAAUUAAUACUAUUUUUUUGUGAUAAUAUACAUAUUCUCUGUGGGAAUGUCUAUUUUAGACUAAAAUAUAUAUAAUUAAUGUAAUAUAAGCGACAUUAUCGCGUGCAAAGAUUAAAAAUGAGUAUAUUACGAUAUUGUACUUAUUACAAUUAAAAACUUAAUUGGGUAUAUAUCAAUACAUAUUAUUCCAUCUCACAUUCAUUGGUACAGCUUAAUCUCGAAGAUUCGGUCUAUUCGUAGAUAAAUUUCACAUUAAAAAAUUUUUUUCAAUUGUGUUAUCUAUAGCUAGACUGCGGAUAUUUAUACAAAUUCAUG